rnacentral:rRNA from 1 species
AACGCUGGCGGCAUGCCUUACACAUGCAAGUCGAACGGCAGCGGACCGUUCGGGUGCCGGCGAGUGGCGAACGGGUGAGUAAUAUAUCGGAACGUACCUUUCAGUGGGGGAUAACGUAGCGAAAGUUACGCUAAUACCGCAUAUUCUGUGAGCAGGAAAGCAGGGGAUCGCAAGACCUUGCGCUGAUUGAGCGGCCGAUAUCAGAUUAGCUAGUUGGUGAGGUAAAGGCUCACCAAGGCGACGAUCUGUAGCGGGUCUGAGAGGAUGAUCCGCCACACUGGAACUGAGACACGGUCCAGACUCCUACGGGAGGCAGCAGUGGGGAAUUUUGGACAAUGGGCGCAAGCCUGAUCCAGCCAUGCCGCGUGAGUGAAGAAGGCCUUCGGGUUGUAAAGCUCUUUCGGCCGGGAAGAAAUCGCACAGGUUAAUACCCUGUGUGGAUGACGGUACCGGAAUAAGAAGCACCGGCUAACUACGUG